GAUGAAGAACGCAGCGAAAUGCGAUAAGUAAUGUGAAUUGCAGAAUUCAGUGAAUCAUCGAAUCUUUGAACGCACAUUGCGCCCGCCAGUAUUCUGGCGGGCAUGCCUGUUCGAGCGUCAUUUCAACCAUCAAGCCCCCGGGCUUGUGUUGGGGACCUGCGGCUGCCGCAGGCCCUGAAAACCAGUGGCGGGCUCGCUAGUCACUCCGAGCGUAGUAGUUACAUCUCGCUCAGGGCGUGCUGCGGGUUCCGGCCGUUAAAAGCCUUUUACCCCAAGGUUGACCUCGGAUCAGGUAGGAAGACCCGCUGAACUUAAGCAUAUAAUAAGCGGAGGA
rnacentral:misc_RNA from 1 species